rnacentral:rRNA from 1 species
UACGUAGGGGGCUAGCGUUGUCCGGAAUCAUUGGGCGUAAAGCGCGUGUAGGCGGUUCGAUAAGUCUGCUGUGAAAGUCCAGGGCUCAACCCUGGGAUGCCGGUGGAUACUGUCGGGCUAGAGUACGGAAGAGGCGAGUGGAAUUCCCGGUGUAGCGGUGAAAUGCGCAGAUAUCGGGAGGAACACCAAUUGCGAAGGCAGCUCGCUGGGACGUUACUGACGCUGAGACGCGAAAGCGUGGGGAGCAAACAGG